rnacentral:rRNA from 1 species
GAGUUUGAUUAUGGCUCAAAACGAACGCUGGCGGCAUGCCUAACACAUGCAAGUCGAACGAGACCUUCAGGUCUAGUGGCGCACGGGUGCGUAACGCGUGGGAACCUGCCCUUAGGUUCGGAAUAACUCAGNGAAAUUUGAGCUAAUACCGGAUAAUGUCUUCGGACCAAAGAUUUAUCGCCUUUGGAUGGGCCCGCGUUGGAUUAGCUAGUUGGUAGGGUAAAGGCCUACCAAGGCGACGAUCCAUAGCUGGUCUGAGAGGAUGAUCAGCCACACUGGGACUG